rnacentral:rRNA from 1 species
AUUAACUGGGCGUAAGCGCACGCAGGCGGUUUGUUAAGCUAGAUGUGAAAGCCCCGGGCUCAACCUGGGAACUGCAUUUCGAACUGGCAAACUAGAGUGUGAUAGAGGGUGGUGGAAUUUCAGGUGUAGCGGUGAAAUGCGUAGAGAUCUGAAGGAAUACCGAUGGCGAAGGCAGCCACCUGGGUCAACACUGACGCUCAUGUACGAAAGCGUGGGGAGCAAACAGGAUUAGAUACCCUGGUAGUCCACGCCGUAAACGAUGUCUACUAGAAGUUCGGAACCUCGGUUCUGUUUUUCAAAGCUAACGCAUUAAGUAGACCGCCUGGGGAGUACGGGCGCAAGGGUAAAACU